GACGAACGCUGGCGGCGUGCCUAACACAUGCAAGUCGAGCGGAGAUGAUGUGAGGAAGUUUUCGGAUGGAAUCACAUUAUUUUAGCGGCGGACGGGUGAGUAACGCGUGAGCGACCAACCUUGCACAGGGGGAUAACGGACCGAAAGGUUCACUAAUACCGCAUGAGACCACGGUGUUGCAUGACACAGAGGUCAAAGGAGGAAUCCGGUGCAAGACGGGCUCGCGUCCGAUUAGGUAGUUGGAGGGGUAACGGCCCACCAAGCCUAUGAUCGGUAGCCGGCCUGAGAGGGUGAUCGGCCACAUUGGAACUGAGAUACGGUCCAAACUCCUACGGGAGGCAGCAGUGGGGAAUACUGGGCAAUGGGGGAAACCCUGACCCAGCAACGCCGCGUGAAGGAAGAAGGUUUUCGGAUUGUAAACUUCUGUCCUUGGUGAAGAGAAGAAGACGGUAGCCAAGGAGGAAGCCCCGGCUAACUACGUGCCAGCCGCCGCCGUAA
rnacentral:rRNA from 1 species